UCUGAAAGAAACAAUGAUAUCAAACUGGCUCGAAAGGUCCAUUUAAAAUUACUUUUAUAGUCUCUCGGGAAAUAGACGUCUGGACCACUCUUUUACGGGAAAACUUGAAGAACUCCACCUGAUGGCUGAGGCAAGACGGCUGAGAUAUUUUCUCUCAAGUUUAAGCAGUCGUUUAUGACCUUCAUCUUUUCAGUUUUUAUUCUUCUGUUGGUCAACCAUUCGCCCCAUUCAAUUGAAGCCGCUCAAAUUAAUUUGACUUUUUUGUCUUUACUUUCACGGUUUCACCAACCAUCUGACUUAUAAAACUAUUCCUAUUGAUUUGCACAACAGUUUAAAUUCUAUACAUUUAUAGUAUAAAGGAUUUUUAUAUAACUAGGUUAUAGUAUCACUUAUAA
rnacentral:lncRNA from 1 species